rnacentral:rRNA from 1 species
CAAUAGCGUAUAUUAAAGUUGUUGCGGUUAAAAAGCUCGUAGUUGGAUUUCUGCUGAGAACGACCGGUCCGCCCUUUGGGUGUGUAUCUGGCUCUUUCUUGGCAUCUUCUUGGUGAACGUUGCUGCACUUGACUGUGUGGAGCGCUACCCAGGACUUUUACUUUGAGGAAAUUAGAGUGUUUCAAGCAGGCAUACGCCUUGAAUACAUUAGCAUGGAAUAACAAGAUAGGACCUCGGUUCUAUUUUGUUGGUUUCUAGAGCUGAGGUAAUGAUUAAUAGGGAUAGUUGGGGGCAUUCGUAUUUAACUGUCAGAGGCGAAAUUCUUGGAUUUGUUAAAGACGGACUACUGCGAAAGCAUUUGCCAAGGAUGUUUUCAUUGA